UACUACUACUAAAUGUGGUUAAAAUCAAACUAACACAUUAGAAAAUUUAAUAAUUUGAAAUAAUUUGUUCUAUUAAUUCAUUUUCUCCUUGUUUAGUUUUGUAAAUAUUAUUUUUUUGUAAAGUAAAUUUUUUUAAUGAAUAUUUUAUAAUCACAAUUUGAAAUUGAUUAUGUACCUAGUUUUGAGAGCUCUAAAACUCUCAAAACGUCUGUAAAAAGACAAUAUUAGCUCUUUCAAAACUGAACAGUAACAAUUUUAUAUCUGAUCUAAAAAUCAGAUAAUAUUCCAAAGUCUUUUAAAAUUAAACCGAGUUUAUUUUUAAAAUUUUAUAACUUUUAGUUAUAAAAACUCUAAAAUUGUUAAAAUACCUUAAGAUAUAUUAUCUAAAUAG
rnacentral:misc_RNA from 6 species